rnacentral:tRNA from 1 species
GGGCGAGUAGCUCAGCCGGAAGAGCAACAGCUCGACACGCUGUAGGUCGCAGGUUCGAUUCCUGUCUCGCCCACCA